UCUUGGGGCGGGCGGGGAGUGGGGUGGCGGUGAAGGCUCCCCAGUUCUAGGCCCCGGGCUGGGGCGCAGUGAGGACCCACCGAGGUGUCGCCCCCAGGAACCGCCAGGCCCCACUUCUCAGCCGGCACACUCAGGUCCUGAGGUCGCUGCGCACAAAUGCUGCGACUCCUCUCUGCCUCACUCAGCUUCAGGCCCAGCCUUGGGUGCUCGCCCUGGUGGGCAGUGCCUGUCCAUCUUCAUAAUUGCCCAAGUUGGCUGGAGGCCCAGGGGCCGGUUCUGCCCACAGCCUUUGAAUGGGCAGCGUGGAGCAGAGAGGAGCCCAGGGUAAAUGUGGUGCAAAGAGAGAUAGAAGAGCUUGCCGAGAUCUGAGCGCCCUGGGUGUAGGCGCUUACUUUCAUUUUGAAGAUGAGGAAAAUGAAGUCACUUGCCCCAGAGAACAUAUCUAGAGUCGGGUGCUGUGCCCGGGAGGUGCUAGUCCCUGAGGGGCCCCUGUAUCGCGUGGCUGGCACAGCCAUCUCCAUCUCCUGCAAUGUCACUGGCUACGAGGGCCCUGCCCAGCAGGACUUCGAGUGGUUCCUGUACAGGCCUGAGGCCCCAGAGGCUGCCCUGGGCAUUGUCAGUACCAGGGAUACCCGAUUCUCCUAUGCUGUCUUUGGGCCCCGAGUGGCAGCUGGUGAGGUACAGGUGCAGCGUCUGCAGGGUGAUGCCGUGGUGCUCAAGAUUGCCCGCCUGCAGGCCGAGGAUGCUGGCAUUUACGAGUGCUACACACCCUCCACUGAUGCCCACUACCUGGGCAGCUACAGCGGCAAAGUGGAACUGAGAGUUCUUCCAGAUAUGCUGCAGGUAUCUGCUGCCCUGCCAGGGCCCCGGGGCCGUCAGGCCCCGACUUCACCCCCUCGCCUGAUGGUGCACGAGGGACAGGAGCUGGCACUGGGCUGCCUGGCACGGACGAGCACGCAGAAGCACACACACCUGGCCGUGUCCUUUGGGCGAGCUGUGCCCGAGGCGCCAGUGGGGCGAGCAACUCUGCAGGAAGUGGUGGGACUCCGGCCCGACCUGGCUGUGGAGGCCGGAGCUCCCUAUGCUGAGCGGCUGGCGGCAGGGGAGCUGCGGCUGGGCAAGGAGGGGACUGAGCGCUACCGCAUGGUGGUGGGGGGCGCCCAGGCGGACGACGCGGGCACCUACCACUGUACUGCUGCUGAGUGGAUUCAGGAUCCCGAUGGCAGCUGGGCCCAGAUCGCGGAGAAGAGGGCUGUCCUGGCCCACGUGGACGUGCAGACGCUGUCCAGCCAGCUGGCAGUGACAGUGGGGCCUGGUGAACGUCGGAUCGGCCCAGGGGAGCCCUUGGAACUGCUGUGCAAUGUGUCAGGGGCCCUGCCCCCACCAGGCCGUCAUGCCGCGUACUCCGUGGGCUGGGAGAUGGCACCUGCAGGGGCACCUGGGCCCGGCCGCCUGGUUGCCCAGCUGGACACGGAGGGUGUGGGCAGCCUGGGCCCUGGCUACGAGGGCCGGCAUAUUGCCAUGGAGAAGGUGGCUUCCAGAACCUACCGGCUACGGCUGGAGGCUGCCCGGCCUGGGGAUGCGGGCACCUACCGCUGCCUCGCCAAGGCCUAUGUCCGAGGGUCUGGGGCCCGGCUUCGGGAAGCCGCCAGUGCCCGCUCCCGGCCCCUCCCCGUGCAUGUGCGUGAGGAAGGUGUGGUGCUGGAGGCUGUGGCCUGGCUAGUGGGAGGCACAGUGUACCGCGGGGAGACGGCCUCCCUGCUCUGCAACAUCUCUGUGCGGGGCGGCCCCCCCGGGCUGCGGCUGGCUGCCAGCUGGUGGGUGGAGCGGCUGGAGGAGGGGGAGCUGAGCUCUGCCCCUGCCCAGCUGGUGGGUGGCGUGGGCCAGGACGGUGUGGCAGAGCUGGGGGUCCGGCCCGGAGGAGGCCCUAUCAGCGUGGAGCUGGUGGGGCCCCGAAGCCAUCGGCUGAGACUCCACGACUUGGGGCCCGAGGACGAAGGCGUGUACCACUGUGCCCCCAGCGCCUGGGUGCAGCACGCUGACUACAGCUGGUACCAGGCGGGCAGUGCCCGCUCGGGGCCUGUCACGGUCUACCCGUACACACAUGCCCUGGACACCCUGUUUGUGCCCCUGCUGGUGGGUGCAGGGGUUGCCCUAGCCAUCGGAGCCACCAUCCUGGGCUCCAUCACCUGCUGCUUCAUGAAGAGGCUGCGGAAGCGGUGAUCCCUCACACCCCAGAUGCCCUUCCUGCUCCAGCUCACCACCGCCUUGCCAGCAUUCCCCCGAAGCCCUCCCGACUGCUUUGUCCUGUCUAUCUUGCCUACUCAUCUUGCCCGAACACCAUCUCUAGCUUGUCACAGCCCCAUUUCCACUGACAGAACCUCUCUAUCCCCUCCCGCCCCUGCAGUGAUACUUACAAGACCUCCCUUCGCUGUCAGAAAAUAGCCAUCCCUCGUUCGCCUUUCCUAGGCCCUGCCCCAGGGCCCCAGCUCUGGCAUCUCCC